GAUGAACGCUGGCGGCGUGCCUAACACAUGCAAGUCGAGCGAACCCUUCGGGGUGAGCGGCGGACGGGUGAGUAACGCGUGGGUAACCUGCCCUAUACACACGGAUAACGUACCGAAAGGUACGCUAAUACGGGAUAAAGUUGUUGGAUGGCAUCUUCUAACAAUCAAAGCUCUGGCGGUAUAGGAUGGACCCGCGUCUGAUUAGCUAGUUGGUGAGGUAAUGGCUCACCAAGGCGACGAUCAGUAGCCGACCUGAGAGGGUGAUCGGCCACACUGGAACUGAGACACGGUCCAGACUCCUACGGGAUGCAACAGUGGGGAAUAUUGCACAAUGGGCGAAAGCCUGAUGCAGCAACGCCGCGUGAGCGAUGAAGGUCUUCGGAUCGUAAAGCUCUGUCCUCAAGGAAGAUAAUGACGGUACUUGAGGAGGAAGCCCCGGCUAACUACGUGCCAGCCGCCGCGGUAA
rnacentral:rRNA from 1 species